rnacentral:piRNA from 1 species
UGUUUAGGUACUUCCAUGUUGUAGC